UACGGAGGAUGCAAGCGUUAUCCGGAAUGAUUGGGCGUAAAGCGUCCGCAGGUGGCUAUGUAAGUCUGCUGUUAAAGAGUGAGGCUCAACCUCAUAAGAGCAGUGGAAACUACAUGGCUAGAGUGCGUUCGGGGCAGAGGGAAUUCCUGGUGUAGCGGUGAAAUGCGUAGAGAUCCGGAGGAACACCGACGGCGCAGGCAGCGUCCUGGCCGCUUGCUGACACUGAGGCACGAAAGCUGGGGGAGCAAACAGG
rnacentral:rRNA from 1 species